AUAAAAAAGUUUUUAUGAAUAAAAUAAAAUAUAAAUAAAAAUUAAAUAUAAAAAAAUAAUAUUAAUAAAAAUUAAAUAUAAAUAAAAAAUAAAUAUAAAUAAAAAAUAAAUAUAAAUAAAAAUGUUAUGAGAAUCUGUGAGUGCGCUGUGAGCAGAGCAGCAUGAGCAGUGUCAUAAACAAAAACAUUUUAAUUUCAUUUUAAUAUUUAAAGCAAAUCAAUAGAAGUCAGAUAUAUAUCAGUUUAAGAUAUAUAUUUUUAGACUUUUAUCCCUUUACAUUGAUUCUGAGUAGGCAUGGUCUGCACAAUAGGCAACUUUUGUUUCUCCAGACACCAUUCCACUUCACUUUUUUCCAGGCGGCUGCCCAGGAUGAUGUAACCUUAGCCUUUGCAACAACCUGUCUAGAAUAUCUGCAAGGUGAUACUGAUGGACUUCUGCAGUGUUUCCUUUUGCAUUCUGGACUGCCAAUGUAACUCAUCCUGAUGCCCUCUUGAUAUGUUCUUCUGAAGUGAAUGUUUCUUUUGAGAUGUUGCUAUUCAGAUGUUUUUAUCAAGAUGUCGCUAUCAAAGAUUCUCAAUACCAACAGAAUGUUGUUUUGUCGACGCAAAUGAGAAUGGGUUCCCUUUUGGGUCUAGUUCCUCCCAAGGUUUCUUCCUUGGAGAGUUUCUUGCAGUCAUCAUUAUUGCAACAUCACUGCCAUUACAUCUGCAUCUGUGUGAUGUUAUGACUUAUAUUGCACUUCCUCAUGUCAUCUCAGGAAUUCUUUCCUCGCCACCUUCAUCUUUGACUGGCUCAUUGGGACUCUCAGUCUGCAUGCAGAUUUCUAAGACAAUAUGCCUGUUUGAAAAGAAAUGCUUUUUCCCUGUUUAAGAAAUUAAACUUUGAACCAAAG